UUGCGGUGGGCUGCGUUUCGCGCGUUUUUCGAGUGUCCCGAAUCUUCCGGCGGCGGUGUUUGUGCAGACACGUGCAGGCGUUGAACUGUGCUUUCGGCACACACACAAAAAAGGACCAUAAAACCCAAGUGAAGACCAACGCUGUGAAGACGGCCCUGUGGAGGCAAGUGGCAGCGAUCGUUCUGUCCGGUGUGCAAGACGGUGUGUCACCGCUGUGAAAAGCGGAGCGGGAGCCGAGGAAGGGAGCUGGCGAUUGUUCCUGGCCGUUUUUCGGGCUCUGAGCUGUGCUCCCUGCAGGGAAGCAGACAUAGUCUCUCCCUCUCCUCAAAUUCUUCUGGGACACCAUGGAAACAAAACCCACAUUGGACAACAUUCAACUGCCUAGCCAGCAGCAGCCUGUCGCAAGCCAGGAAGAAGAGCCAGAAAGCAUGUCCCAGUUUGGUCUUGUGGAUGUUCUGGAGGCACACAAGUUCGAGAGAGAGGAGAAUAAGUCGGUGGUGACGGGGGUGUCACUGCCAUUAGUGGCAGCACCUGCACCUCGUUCACACGCACCCUCAGUGGCGGCAAGAUCAGCUUUGUCCAUGUGCAGAGAACGGAAGGGCCAGGCCACGGCUGCAGGUAAAAGAAGAAAGCGAAACAAAGAUGAUUUUCGGGUACAGCAGCCGGGGCGGGUGUCCCGUGCCCUGGAAGUUACCCGGCCAAUGGAUCACCACGAACUGUUCGCAAUGUCGCUAGUCUCAUUAAUGAGACUAGUAAGCGCUGACAAGCAACUGAAAAUGCGCAUAGAGCUAUUGCGUGUUAUCGAGAAAUAUAUGGAUUAAUUUUUCUUUCA